UAGGGUGACCAACAUCCCAGUUUGCCCAGGACAGACGGGUUUCUUGGGACACAGGACUUUCACUGCUGACAUGAGGACAGUCCCAGGCAAACAGGGAUGAGUUGGUCACCCUAGCUGAAU
rnacentral:pre_miRNA from 1 species